ensembl:miRNA
GCAACUGCCUUGUGAUGGGUGAGUUUUCACUUUUUUUUCCUGGACUCAUAGAUCUGAAGGCAGGUAGC